rnacentral:rRNA from 1 species
UGGGGAAUAUUGGACAAUGGGCGGAAGCCUGAUCCAGCCAUGCCGCGUGAGUGACGAAGGCCUUAGGGUUGUAAAACUCUUUCGUCGGGGACGAUAAUGACGGUACCCGAAGAAGAAGCUCCGGCUAACUUCGUGCCAGCAGCCGCGGUAAUACGAAGGGAGCUAGCGUUGUUCGGAAUCACUGGGCGUAAAGCGCACGUAGGCGGAUAGUUAAGUCAGGGGUGAAAUCCUGGGGCUCAACCCCAGAACUGCCUUUGAUACUGGCUGUCUCGAGGUCGAGAGAGGUUGGUGGAAUUCCUAGUGUAGAGGUGAAAUUCGUAGAUAUUAGGAAGAACACCAGUGGCGAAGGCGGCCAACUGGCUCGAUACUGACGCUGAGGUGCGAAAGCGUGGGGAGCAAACAGGAUUAGAUACCCGUGUAGUCCCUGAGCGGGCUGGCAAGGCGCAU